rnacentral:rRNA from 1 species
UACGGAGGGUGCGAGCGUUGUCCGGAUUUAUUGGGUUUAAAGGAUGCGUAGGUGGCUUGUUAAGUCAGUGGUGAAAUACAGCCGCUCAACGGUUGAGGUGCCAUUGAUACUGACAAGCUUGAAACAAGUGGAGGUUGCCGGAAUGGAUGGUGUAGCGGUGAAAUGCAUAGAUAUCAUCCAGAACACCGAUGCGAAGGCAGGUGACUACGUUUGAUUUGACACUGAGGCACGAAAGCAUGGGGAGCAAACAGG